UACGUAGGGGGCUAGCGUUGUCCGGAAUCAUUGGGCGUAAAGAGCGUGUAGGCGGCUCGGUAAGUCCGCUGUGAAAGUCCAGGGCUCAACCCUGGAAUGCCAGUGGAAACUGUCGAGCUAGAGUCCGGAAGAGGCGAGUGGAAUUCCUGGUGUAGCGGUGAAAUGCGCAGAUAUCAGGAGGAACACCAAUGGCGAAGGCAGCUCGCUGAGACGGUACUGACGCUGAGACGCGAAAGCGUGGGGAGCAAACAGG
rnacentral:rRNA from 1 species